rnacentral:rRNA from 1 species
UACGGAGGGUGCAAGCGUUAAUCGGAAUUACUGGGCGUAAAGCGUGCGCAGGCGGUUUGUUAAGUCUGCUGUGAAAGCCCGGGGCUCAACCCCGGGUCUGCAGUGGGUACGGGCAGACUAGAGUGCAGUAGGGGAGACUGGAAUUCCUGGUGUAGCGGUGAAAUGCGCAGAUAUCAGGAGGAACACCGGUGGCGAAGGCGGGUCUCUGGGCCGAAACUGACGCUGAGGAGCGAAAGCGUGGGGAGCGAACAGG